UUAAGCAUAUUAAUUAGGGGAGGAAAAGAAACUAACCAGGAUUUUCUUAGUAGCGGCGAGCGAAAAGAAAUCAGUUCAGCACUAAGUCACUUUGUCUAUAUGGCAAACGUGAGAUGCAGUGUAUGGAGCGUCAAUAUUCUAGUAUGAGAAAUUAACGAUUUAAGUCCUUCUUAAAUGAGGCCAUUUACCCAUAGAGGGUGCCAGGCCCGUAUAACGUUAAUGAUUACUAGAUGAUGUUUCCAAAGAGUCGUGUUGCUUGAUAGUGCAGCACUAAGUGGGUGGUAAACUCCAUCUAAAACUAAAUAUAACCAUGAGACCGAUAGUAAACAAGUACCGUGAGGGAAAGUUGAAAAGAACUCUGAAUAGAGAGUUAAACAGUACGUGAAACUGCUUAGAGGUUAAGCCCGAUGAACCUGAAUAUCCGUUAUGGAAAAUUCAUCAUUAAAGUUGUAAUAUUUUAACAAUAUUAUAAUAAUAGUGUGCAUUUUUUCCAUAUAAGGACAUUGUAAUCUAUUAGCAUAUAACAAAUUUAUCAUAAUAUAUGAAUAUAGUUUAUUCAAAUUAUUAUGCUUGCAUUUUAACAUAGAAUAAAUGUCAUUAAUUUGAUAAAGUGUUGAUAAAUUAAAAUUAAUACAGUGCGUUAAUUUUUCGAAAUUAUAUAAUGGCAUAUUUAUCAUUGAUUUUUGUGUUUAUUAUAUGCAUUUGUAUGAUUAACAAUGCGAAAGAUUCAGGAUACCUUCGGGACCCGUCUUGAAACACGGACCAAGGAGUCUAACAUAUGUGCAAGUUAUUGGGAGAUAAACCUAAUAGCGUAAUUAACUUGACUAAUAAUGGGAUUAGUUUUUUAACUAUUUAUAGAUAAUUAACACAAUCCCGGGGCGUUCUAUAUAGUUAUGUAUAAUAAUAUUUAUAUUAUUUAUGCCUCUAACUGGAACGUACCUUGAGCAUAUAUGCUGUGACCCGAAAGAUGGUGAACUAUACUUGAUCAGGUUGAAGUCAGGGGAAACCCUGAUGGAAGACCGAAACAGUUCUGACGUGCAAAUCGAUUGUCAGAAUUGAGUAUAGGGGCGAAAGACCAAUCGAACCAUCUAGUAGCUGGUUCCUUCCGAAGUUUCCCUCAGGAUAGCUGGUGCAUUUUCAUGUUAUAUAAAAUAAUCUUAUCUGGUAAAGCGAAUGAUUAGAGGCCUUAGGGUCGAAAUGAUCUUAACCUAUUCUCAAACUUUAAAUGGGUAAGAACCUUAACUUUCUUGAUAUGAAGUUUAAGGUUAUGAUAUAAUGUGCCCAGUGGGCCACUUUUGGUAAGCAGAACUGGCGCUGUGGGAUGAACCAAACGUAAUGUUACGGUGCCCAAAUUAACAACUCAUGCAGAAACCAUGAAAGGCGUUGGUUGCUUAAAACAGCAGGACGGUGAUCAUGGAAGUCGAAAUCCGCUAAGGAGUGUGUAACAACUCACCUGCCGAAGCAACUAGCCCUUAAAAUGGAUGGCGCUUAAGUUGUAUAACUAUACAUUACCGCUAAAGUAGAUGAUUUAUAUUACUUGUGAUAUAAAUUUUGAAACUUUAGUGAGUAGGAAGGUACAAUGGUAUGCGUAGAAGUGUUUGGCGUAAGCCUUCAUGGAGCUGCCAUUGGCACAGAUCUUGGUGGUAGUAGCAAAUAAUCGAAUGAGACCUUGGAGGACUGAAGUGGAGAAGGGUUUCGUGUGAACAGUGGUUGAUCACGAGUUAGUCGCUCCUAAGUUCAAGGCGAAAGCCGAAAAUUUUCAAGUAAAAAAUCAGUGAGUAAUAUUGUCAAAUCUUUUAUGAUUUUUAAAUACUUGAAUAAUUUUGAACGAAAGGGAAUACGGUUCCAAUUCCGUAACCUGUUGAGUAUCCGUUUGUUAUUAAAUAUGGGCCUCGUGCUCAUCCUGGCAACAGGAACGACCAUAAAGAAGCCGUCGAGAGAUAUCGGAAGAGUUUUCUUUUCUGUUUUAUAGCCGUACUACCAUGGAAGUCUUUCGCAGAGAGAUAUGGUAGAUGGGCUAGAAGAGCAUGACAUAUACUGUUGUGUCGAUAUUUUCUCCUCGGACCUUGAAAAUUUAUGGUGGGGACACGCAAACUUCUCAACAGGCCGUACCAAUAUCCGCAGCUGGUCUCCAAGGUGAAGAGUCUCUAUUCGAUAGAAUAAUGUAGGUAAGGGAAGUCGGCAAAUUAGAUCCGUAACUUCGGGAUAAAGAUUGGCUCUGAAGAUUGAGAUAGUCGGGCUUGAUUGGGAAACAAUAACAUGGUUUAUGUGCUCGUUCUGGGUAAAUAGAGUUUCUAUCAUUUAUGGUAGUUACUUGUUCCCCGGAUAGUUUAGUUACGUAGCCAAUUGUGGAACUUUCUUGCUAAAAUUUUUAAGAAUACUAAUUGGGUUAAACCAGUUAGUUCUUAUUAAUUAUAACGAUUAUCAAUUAACAAUCAAUUCAGAACUGGCACGGACUUGGGGAAUCCGACUGUCUAAUUAAAACAAAGCAUUGUGAUGGCCCUAGCGGGUGUUGACACAAUGUGAUUUCUGCCCAGUGCUCUGAAUGUCAAAGUGAAGAAAUUCAAGUAAGCGCGGGUCAACGGCGGGAGUAACUAUGACUCUCUUUCGUCCAAUUACGGUACAAUCUGUUAUGGUAAGGAUUUUAAAUGCCAUUUUGGCUUACCGGUUGACCUCAUCAGUCGACUGGGAUCCGCGUCAGCGAGGUUUCCUUCCAACCGACGGAUGUGCCGAUAAUACGACGAUAGUCGACUUAAUCUUAAGGGAUCACCAUAAACGUUGUAAAUCAGUUUAUAUCGCAACUUUAGAUAUAAGCAAAGCAUUUGACUCGGUGUCUCAUGCAGCAGUUAGCGCCACUCUAACUGCAUAUGGUGCCCCUAAAGAAUUCGUUGACUACGUACAAAAUUCGUACGAGGUCUGUGGCACAACGCUCAAUGGGGACGGAUGGAGAUCAGAGGAAUUCAUACCUGCUCGAGGUGUCAGACAGGGUGACCCGCUAUCUCCCAUAAUAUUCAACUUGAUCAUCGAUCAGUUGCUUAGUUCCUACCCCAAUGAGAUUGGUGCCACAAUCGGAGAUCACACAACAAACGCGGCCGCGUUCGCAGAUGAUAUUGUCUUAUUUGCGGAAACUCGUUUAGGCCUUCAAACAAUGCUAGACACGACUGUCGAUUUUCUAUCUUCAGUCGGGCUUACCCUUAACUCAGAUAAAUGUUUUACAGUUGGAAUAAAGGGGCAACCGAAACAGAAGUGUACUGUGGUCAUCCCAGAGACCUUCCGUAUCGGUUCGCGCUCGUGUCCUGCAUUGAAGCGCACAGACGAGUGGAAGUAUUUAGGCAUAACAUUCACUGCACAAGGGAGGACCAGGUACAGUCCAGCCGACGACCUAGGUCCGAAGCUGUGGAGGCUGACAAGGUCCCCCCUAAAACCACAACAGAAAUUGUUCGCACUCAGAACAGUUCUUAUCCCACAACU
rnacentral:rRNA from 1 species